AAAAAAAAAAAAAAAAACAAAAAAAAAAAAAAACAAGAAUGUUUCUUACAAUCUAUUUUUCUCUCCAGAUGGGAAGGUGACACCUGUUUGUGGAGAGAAGUGGCCCUGUCUGCUUUUCUAGUUGAGACACUAUGCUGUGGUGGUGCCACGUGUGACUCCCACGUCACACAUGUGGUGUGGCGUCUUCUAUUGAACUAGCGUGCAGGAACAAGGCCUUUUUAGCAGAUGCUAGCAUGAAGAUAGCUUGUCUGAGUACAAAGGGCGAGCAUGCUUGGGUUUCAGUGGCUUCAGAGUCUUCUGUGCCCUGCUGCCUUUGGUGAAGCAACUGAAUGUGAGCGUGACUCAGGCCAAGCUUUCCUCGCAGCUCACAUCCUGUAUCACACGCCAUGAUUCAGGGUUAGCUUUCACACUUCACUCUUUUUCUCCAACAAGAUUUGCAGAAUUUGUCCCAUGAAUAGGACAGUGAUAGACUGUCAAAUGCCAAGGGCCUGGUUAAAAUUCCUUCCAGUUCAGCUUCAUAAAGUCCCUGCCUUCACCUUCGUUAUUUUCAAUUUCAGUUUACAAAUGCUUUUAGGACUGGAGAUAGAUUCCUGUGUGUGGUUAUUUUAAUUAGCCCAUCACUGACUGCCUGACACUGCUGGUGUGGACUGGGAGCUGCCUGUGUUUUUCCCACUACCACCUACACACACACACACACACACACACACACACACACACACACACACACACACACACACAGUUCAUGACGUAGAGUAGCGUAACUUCAUUCUACUUUUGACAUUUUACAGACCUUUGAGAGGUUAGCUGUGUCCUUAUCUGGGGAAGAUUCUUCCACCUUCCUCCUGCUCAUGGCCCAGCUCGUGUGCUAUCUGGAAAAUGCUUAUAAUAGCUGCACGACCCAGUUGCUUCAAGCAAGCUUUAGUUCGCUGGGGUUUGGUUUUUUUUUUGUUUGUUUGUUUGUUUGUUUGUUUGUUUGUUUGUUUGUUUUUAAACAUUGUUCUUUCACAAAGUCAAGGAUCUCAUUUAUCAUUUUCAUAAGCUAAGGGGAGAGAAUGUCCAGCCAACGGAUACAACACCAGAGAAAACACUGGUCUUCCUUCGCACCUCCAGAAAACCUAAAGGAGUGUUAACCUGUUAUAUUAAUGGUUGUCACACUACUGGUACAUGAGUUCCUUGGGUUAGCAGAAUUGCAGUCUUUGCUGGACUCUCAGCCCCCCCCUCCAUUUUCCACCCUCAAUCUGAGCACUUGAGUCAUGGGUCACCAGAGCUGGUGAGAACUGGGGCUGCUGGCCUGACACUGGCAGGCUUAGCUGCUCUGACCCACAUAUUGUGGCCUGCCAGUUAUUUCUAGAACCACCCAUUAGGGAGGAUUUUGUUCUUUCUGGGUAGUGAUGUAAAUAAGGCAUCCCACCCCUGAGCUCUGACUGACUGAAAGGGAGCACAGCCACAUGCAGCCUAGGUUAGGGCUCAGACCCCAGGCUGCUUGUGCUUGGAAAUGGCUUUCCACCUGGGAGAAAUAACCACUGCCGGGACUUACGCUCACUAGUGAGUGGUUUGUAGCAGAACCUGGCAAAGAGAUGAGUUUGCAAAUGUGGAGGUAAAUGGUGGGUUAUAUAGAAAUACCUGAAUAACAGCAGCUAUUUCUUCUGAGCCUCUUGUGUGUGCAUGCGUCAGCUUCACCUCUUACUUACUCAUGUAAGUAAGGCACAGUUGUCCGAAUGGCAGCAGGCUAACUGCUAUAUGGUAACUCCACAUUCUGCUCUGGAUUUUCUGACCAGAACCCACAGACUUUGUGACUGCAGGUUCAGUGGAGAAGUGCAGAGGCACCUGGCAGAUACUUAAAUGGAGUAAGUAGCCCUGUUUCCUGUCCUGGGUUUGCUCCAUCCCUACACCCAAUAACUGCCUGAACAGAUAAGGUUUAGAGCCUCAGGUGCCCACAGUCUGAGGGGGAGCCUCAGGUGCCCACAGUCUGAGGGGGAGCCUCAGGUGCCCACAGUCUGAGGGGGAGCCUCAGGUGCCCACAGUCUGAGGGGAGCCUCAGGUGCCCACAGUCUGAGGGGGAGCCUCAGGUGCCCACAGUCUGAGGGGAGCCUCAGGUGCCCACAGUCUGAGGGGGAGCCUCAGGUGCCCACGAUCUGAGGGGAGCCUCAGGUGCCCACGGUCUAAGGGGAGCCUCAGGUGCCCACAGUCUGAGGGGGAGCCUCAGGUGCCCACAGUCUGAGGGAGAGCCUCAGGUGCCCACGGUCUGAGGGAGAGCCUCAGGUGCCCACGGUCUAAGGGGAGCCUCAGGUGCCCAUAGUCUGAGGGGAGCCUCAGGUGCCCACAGUCUGAGGGGGAGCCUCAGGUGCCCACAGUCUGAGGGAGAGCCUCAGGUGCCCACAGUCUGAGGGAGAGCCUCAGGUGCCCACGGUCUGAGGGAGAGCCUCAGGUGCCCACAGUCUGAGGGGGAGCCUCAGGUGCCCACAGUCUGAGGGGAGCCUCAGGUGCCCACAGUCUGAGGGGGAGCCUCAGGUGCCCACGAUCUGAGGGGAGCCUCAGGUGCCCACGGUCUAAGGGGAGCCUCAGGUGCCCACAGUCUGAGGGGGAGCCUCAGGUGCCCACAGUCUGAGGGAGAGCCUCAGGUGCCCACGGUCUGAGGGAGAGCCUCAGGUGCCCACGGUCUAAGGGGAGCCUCAGGUGCCCAUAGUCUGAGGGGAGCCUCAGGUGCCCACAGUCUGAGGGGGAGCCUCAGGUGCCCACAGUCUGAGGGAGAGCCUCAGGUGCCCACAGUCUGAGGGAGAGCCUCAGGUGCCCACGGUCUGAGGGAGAGCCUCAGGUGCCCACGGUCUAAGGGGAGCCUCAGGUGCCCAUAGUCUGAGGGGAGCCUCAGGUGCCCACAGUGUGAGGGGAGCCUCAGGUGCCCACAGUGUGAGGGCGAGCCUCAGGUGCCCACAGUCUGAGGGGAGCCUCAGGUGCUCACAGUUUGAGGGAAAGAGCCAGUUACAGGAGAAAAUCGCCACGUCAGCAUGCUGGCUGCUCUAGCAUAGAGACUGUGCAUGCUGCUAUUGAAGCAUGUGAUGCACAUAGUUUCCUGCCAGACCAAAGAUGGUGGUAGGGGAGCAUGUGGGUGGGAGUCCAUGACCAUGACAGCACUCAGUAGAGGCCACUGAGCAGAGUUUGUUUGUCUCACUGUGCCUCCCCUGGUGGGCUUCUCUUCCCAUCUGACUGCAGCUUGCAUAUAAUAGUGAUGAAGCCUUUUGGGGCCAUAAAGGCACAUGAAUAAAUAAAAUGUGCACAUGUUCCUGAGCAUACGUCAGUGAGGGGAUAAAGUGUCCCCUAUAGCUGUAUGCUGGGCAUUUAAGUCUGUGUGGUAUAAAAUGUCCCUUACGAGCUGUGACCUAGGUAUGUCCAUGAGUAGUAAAGGAACCUCUGCAAGCCACAGUCCUCAGGAUGCUUUGAAACUUCAAUGAGCUACUAAUGUGGCUGUCUUCACAGAAACGGUGUUUAUAACAUGUCAGACAGUGUUACCUCUGGGAAGAGCACCUUACCUAGAACAUGAGACGUGCUCACCAAUACUUGGCCAAGUAACAGUUGCAGAUACUUGUGAGUCUCACAGGAGCCGGGUGUGUGAUGAUAGCAGAGUAGGGCUUCGGUGAAAGGUGUAUGCCAGGCUUUCAAGCCUGCCCACUUCUGGGGAGCAGUCAACAGCAGGCUGGGCAAAUAGUCUGUGAACUUACUCUAGUGAUGGUCCCUAAAGUUAAGUGCUAGAAGACAGGUCAGAGUGUCCCUGAAGGCCAGCCCCGGCCAUUCACACAACCAAGGUUCUCUUGUUCACAGAAGAAAGCCAGCAAGAGGCAGGCAUGGUUCUGAGGCUGCCGGUUAGAGGCCAGAUGGGAAAAGGGCCCUGUGUUUUCCCCUGCGGCUAUGGUCUCUUGUUGGCAUUCAAGAGCUGGGAGAGUUCAACUAAGCAUUAAAAGGAACUAACCAAAUAAAAGAUCACUGGCGACAUCGGUGGCCAGAGGAGUAUGCUUAAUGCAGGAUGCCUCUGGUUUGCCCCUCAAGCCCAGUGAAGGUCAGCAGGACUUAUAGGAAAGGCUGCCUCUGCAGGGCUUGUAGCAGCUGCCCUGCUCUCACUGUGCCACGUUACCUGUCCCAUCCUGAGUUGGCUAUGUGUGUCUCUCCCUCCAGAGAGACUGUUCCUUAAGGGUGAACAAUAUAUGACCCAUUUAUCUUCCAGAACACAAGACCUUGCCCAGUAUCCAGCACUUAAUAAAGUCAUUGUUAGCUAAGAUAUACUGCUUUUAAUCAUACUAUAUAAAAUUAAAGAGGCAGAGGAAAUAGGUGGCCCAGUGAUUCAGGCUCUUGCUAUAUAAGCAUGAAGUUUGGAUCCCCACAACCCACAUAUUGCCUGGUGAGUGCAGUAACCUAUCUGUACUUCCAACCUUUGAAUUUAGAAACAGGGAGUCCCCAGAGAAUGCUGGCCAGUGAGUAUAGCCGUAUUGACCACCCCAAGUUUGACUGAGAGACCUGUAUCAGUGAAUAGGGAGGGUGGGAGAGCAGUCAGGCUCAGGCCCACACAUACGUCCAUAUGCUCAUGCACACACUUGCACACAUGUGUACAUUAAAGUGGGGGUUACAAAAGGCCUUGACAGUUUAUCACUUUCCCCUUUGGGGUUUUAUUUUCUAUUCAGUCAAACAUUAAAGUCUGAACGCAGAAAGGUCUCCUCUCUUUCUCUAUAGUUAGUGAAGGCUAGAGUGUAAUGAGGCAUGCAGGGAGGUUCCUGCACCAUUGUCAGGAGCCAGGCCAGCCAGCUUGGCCGUGCAGUUGGUCACUCACAGGAAUCGCAGUGGUUCCUUGUUUAGUAACCUCAGGGCUCUCCCACACAAUAGUGUGCUUUCUCGGGCUCUUUGCUUACUUGACUCUCAGAAGGAUCCCAGAACCAAGGAAAGGAAGGAAGUGCCCCCACCCCGGCCCUGCUCCCGAUGGAAGCUCGUGGAGGCAGAUCAGAAGGUGUACAUCCCUCCGGGGCUACUCAGAUUUCUCCUUCCUAAAGCCCAUGAUUUUUGUGUCAGAAGUCUUCACUUGCCAUGGGAGAAAGCAGGCAUUUAUGAGACAUGUAGAUGUGGUGCAGGGCCCAGAGGCAGUGCAUGUGUGUGUGUGCAUGUGUGUGUGCAUGUGUCUGUGUAUGCAUGUGUCUGUGUGUGCAUGUGUGUGUGCGCGAGUGUGUGUGUAUGUGCAUGCGGAUGGAAUAUCUAAAGUUAAUCUUCAUCAGUUUCUAAGGAACAUUAUAUAAUAAGUAGUUACUAGUCUAGUGCUUUGUCCCAGACGUGAACUUUUUCCUGCUAGAUACUUGGUUGAGACAUCUAAUCCUUUCCCACACACAGUGACUCAGUGUAGAGGCGAUUCAUCCCAUAGCUCUACGCUUGCCUUGCUAGAAAGUUUGGCUUCUAGCUAGCGACACUUCACACCUUAAUACAAGCACAGCUGCGGUCUCUCAGCUGUCAGGUUCUCUCUUCUCCAGCUGCCACAAGCAGCCUUCCGUAACAACUUGCUAAAAGCAAAACACAGGCAAAUAAAUAUUAACACCAUAAAUAGCUAAAAACAUCUAUUGAAUUUUGAUGUGUUUAUUUAUUUAUUUUGCUUAUUGGAGGGUGGUGAAAAACAAUGCCCAUUUUCUUCAAUAAAAUUUUAAAGUAAUAACAAAAACAAAGACUGAGUCCAAAGAAAUAUUCAUGGAAACUAUGGACAUAUCGAGUCCACCAGCAGCCCACCUUUACACUGCAGGAGAAAAUGUGUCUGACUAGAAUGAUGGCUUAACUAGAAGCUGAGCAGUGGUGGAACACACCUUUAAUCCCAGCACUCAGGAGGCAGAGGCAGGCAGAUGUCUGAAUUAGAGGCCAGCCUGGUCUAUAGAGCAAGUUCCAGAACAACCUGGGCUACACAGAAAAACCCUGUCUCAAAAAAUCGAGGGCGGGAGUUAGGGGGGUGCUAACUAGCUAGCUAAUGAGAGCCUGCUAGUCCAUUGUCAAGCUUCAAACUAUUAAGAUGAGAAGGGAGAGGCCAGAGGUGUUAAGGAUCUGAUGGCCGUCUGUCUACACAGCUGACCUGGACACCAGAACUAACCCUAAACCAUGCUGUUCUGGCCCAGACCUCCUCUCCUGCUGACGCCUUGGGGACAGGCAAGUUGCCAUCAGCAGUCUUUGUUGGGAACUUUCGCUGCUAGGGUGUUUAUGAUGAUAUAUUUUUCGAUCGCAGCACUCCUGUGAGGCAAAUAAAACUGUCCCCACUUCACAAAUGAGGAAACAAAAAUAAACAUGUAUGUGUUGUUUCUAUACUUAGACAGAGUAGAAACUCCUUGUUUCCAGCAGCUUCUGUCUCACUUUUCACCAAUGCUUUUAUAAGAUUAUGUCAGGAUUCCAUCAGUGUUUAAAUGUUGGAAGUCUUAGGAACUGGGAGUGUAGCUCAGUAGUAGAUGUCCAUAAUAUAUUAGGUCCUGAGUCCCAUUCCCCUCACUGCCAAAUAGAAACAACUAGAAAGGUUCAUAAGGGUUGGUGCUGGCGUGUAGCUGUGAGUGAAUUAGACAUCGCUGUGUGGGCCUUUUGCUGACUUCUAACUUCAAACACCACUCCGCCUCAGACCUCAUGAUGCACAUGGAGGAAGUAUCCAAAGUCCUAUCACUCUGCUGUUGUGGCAGUAUCUGGCCGGCAGUCUCACUUUCUGCAAACUACAGAGAAAACUGUAAGCCCUUGUCUGCUGGGAGAUCACUGCUGUCUGUGAGAGGGACACUGGUCAGGAGACAGUAACAGAUAUGUGUACAGAUGAGGGGUAGAACCAAGCUCAAAGGAGUCUUUGCCCAGUAUUCAUAUUUACUUAUGAGAAUAAAAGUAGAAAAUACAACACAGACAGACAGACACACACACACAUACACACACACACACACACACACACACGUGUACACUCAUGCACGUACACAUGAGUGCCUCAGAGAGAAUACACUGAAGCAAUGGCCACCCUAGGCAGGAGCCCCUUGGGAAGCAGAACAAGUAGGUUGCUUUCUAGGAUGUACCCUUCCUAAACCCCUUGGAAUGUGUGCACACCUAAGUGCCCAGGUGAUGCAGAUUCCACAUACAGAAGUAAGACAGAUGCAGAAAUAGCACUGACUUAUUCUUUCUGGCUGGAAACUGUAUCUGCUUGCAUGGACUGUCCAGCAGUCAAAAGGCUUUGGUGUUUGUAGCUGGGAACUCUUUCCCAUGCUGGCUCUGUUGAGCCACACAGGGAUCUUCACUUCAGAGGAGACAGCUGCGGCCUGGGAGGGAUUCCAGUCACGAGUUGCAGUGAAUGUGCACUACAGUAUACUCAUUAAACCUCUGACUCUCCAACUAGAUUUUGAGCUGCUAACAGCACAACCCUGGAACAAGACCUUCUGCCCACAGCCCAGUAUAGCCAGUUGGUGGUUGCUAAGACAAGUCAGGGGAGUGGUAGGGCACAGGCAAAGGGAAAGGGGUGACUCCUACAGAAAAAAAAUAAGAUUUUAAGAAGCUCUGCUGGACUGCCUGUGUGGCUCAGUGAUAGAAUGUGCGCCCCCCCCACCGUGUGUGUGUGUGUGUGUGUGUGUGUGUGUGUGUGUGUGUGUGCAUGUGUCUCAGUAAUAGAAUGUUUGCCACAUCCUGCAUGAGGCCAUAGAGAAGAAAAGGAACUCCUUAUAAUUUAAACAUUUUAAAAGACCACAGGGAAAAUUGGCUUUCUGAUCCCAAUGUCUACAUGGGAGGUAGAGGCCAUACCCCGUAGAGCUUUGUCUCUUAAGUUAUAGGAUUUUGAUGUUGUCACAGUCCCCAGGAUUUAUGUUUUGCACUCUGCCUCCUUUUAAAUAAAGCCUUUUGUACAAAUUUUGUUUUCUACACAAUGCAGAUGAUAAUUUGAAUUCACUUGAGCAGAAAUGUCAACAGAUGUAUGUAUCUUUAUGGAUUGAGUAAAUGCCCAAAAAUUCGGUAACUUGCUGAGGCAAGACUUCUUAGAACCUUUAUGACCAACUUCCAGCCACAGGGCACGUCCCAGCAGCCACAGUGGCUGUAAGGUCUGGUGGGGUAUCAAGUGAGUCCUUAAGCAGUGGCACCUUCACAGGUGAGGAACAGUCGAGUGCUAAAAGGACCACUGUUGCUGUCCUGACCUUCCAAGAGGGAAGCCACUGCACCCAGUCACCAUGGUACUGAGCAACGUUUUUAUUAACCAGAAUUCUGAAAAUUCUGGAGAAUUCUCCAGUGAAGCUUGGCUGCUGUUUCUUAUAAUGUCUGAAGAUGCAGCCACUUACAGUAACUUUGGUGCUCUGAUGCCUGUUUGCUUUCAGAUUGGCAAAGCAAACAUUUCUAGGAGCUGCCAGCAGAGCCCGAUUCCAUAAGAUUUCUCUUUAUAAGUAGAUUAAAUCAGAUAAGAAGAAGAAAGCUGCCCCUGCUUUCACUUUAGUCUCCUGAGGCACAAGCCAUGUUAAACACUCUCACUUUGUUCUUACAGACCGUGGUGUCUGUCACCCUGUAACCUUGCUUCCCCGGCUUACACCGCCUUCAGGCAGCUCUGCCUUUCCCUGCAGCUGCAGAGGCUCCACAGAGGCUCCCGCAGGCACAGCUGCCUCUGCCCCGCCAGGGCCUCCACUGAGAAACUCACCCAACACUGCUCUUGAGACUUGUCCAUGGCUCCCUUUGUCAGUGCUACUCUGAGCACACACUUCUGUUGGCCUAAGCGACUCAUCACAUUUCUGAAUAACUUAAAUACAUGUUUUCUUGGUGCAUUUAAAAACCUAUUUAUCAAGUCCCUGCUGUGCUACGCUCCGGAGUCGCGCUCGAGUGUCCGUGCAGAUGUCAAAAGGCAGUUGUGGUUGGAUGUGGUGCUGCCUCUGCCUGUCCUCACAUGCAGGAAGCAGAAGCAGGAGCACACAAGGUGCAAGCUGUGCAGGGAGACCCAGGGAGAAACUGUGGAGAAAGGAUCUGGGCGCAUCCUAUGUGCAUCCACUCAGGACACUUAGGCUGAAGCACUGAGUGAGACGUGGCUUUUACUUUUGUGGACCUUCUUAGUAAAUAAGAGAAGGAAUAAACAAACGAAAAAUUGUCCUAGGGGGUGGAGAAAUGGCUCCAUGACACUUUCCAUCUAAGCAUGAAGGCAUGCCGGAUUACCAGAACACACAUAAAAGCCAGGUAGAUAUGGCAGGUGCUUCUAAUCCCAGCACUCAGGAGGUGAGGCUGGAUUCCUGAGGCAAGCUGAGCUAGCUGGAACUGCCAGGCUCUGGGUCAGCAGGAGAUUCUGUCUCGGUAGAUGAGGCUGAUAAAGGAA
rnacentral:sRNA from 1 species